CCUUGGAACUCUGCUUGAACCGAUGUGCAGGUACUGCAACGUGUACAUAGAGUGCUUCCUGAAAGGACAAAGCAGGAGGAGUUCUCAGGGAUUUGCUGUGCUGCAGAACUUUUAUCAAAUCUCCAGUCUGAGUCUGCCAACAGGCUUGCAGGUCUGUUUCUAUGGACAAAAGAUGAUCUGUGCAGUAUAUCCCAAAAGGUAGUAAGUGAAUACAUGCUCUACAGCCACAGCUAUGAAAUGUAAAUAGAAUUAAAAGUCCUAGAAAGCAGUGGUGGGAAUUCCAGGGUGUAAUGUUCACCACACUUCUACUCUACUGCUCAGUGUGUGUAAGGAAUCCUGUCUUGGAGAGGCUAACCAUAGGUUUGGGAAAAACACCAGCACUUGGAGUAGCCCAGGGGUCAUGAGGGAAGAAAGGACAGAGGGUGACUCGCCCAAUGUCCUUUGCUGUAUGAUUAUGAUAUGAUAUGAGGACAUGAUUGCAAAGCACUUCUUGUUCCACAGCUAAAGUCGGAACUCAUUCUUCUCUUUGCUGUUUUCCAGAGUGAAUUUUAAACUGCCUGCGAUUCUAUUGCCACUCUGUAUCAAAGCUCAGAAAUGCAGGAAAGACACUAUGCAGGUGCAAAAAGCCAAAAUGGUUCUGGCAGUCUAGAGUGCAGGAAAGUCUCAUUAAUUAGAAAUUAAUUUUGUUACAGGAAAAAUUGAUUCUGGAUUUAUUCUGUUGGGUUUUUUUGGCUUUUUUUGUCUGACGUACGAUACUAAUUACUGGAUAAAUAAAAAAGAAUUAAAGUAAA